UUGCCCUAGUAACGGCGAGUGAAGCGGCAACAGCUCAAAUUUGAAAUCUGGCGCAAGCCCGAGUUGUAAUUUGUAGAGGAUGCUUCUGGGUAGCGACCGAUCUAAGUUCCUUGGAACAGGACGUCAUAGAGGGUGAGAAUCCCGUAUGUGACCGGCCCGCACCCUUUACGUAGCUCCUUCGACGAGUCGAGUUGUUUGGGAAUGCAGCUCUAAAUGGGAGGUAAAUUUCUUCUAAAGCUAAAUACCGGCCAGAGACCGAUAGCGCACAAGUAGAGUGAUCGAAAGAUGAAAAGUACUUUGGAAAGAGAGUUAAAAAGCACGUGAAAUUGUUGAAAGGGAAGCGCCUGCAACCAGACUUCGCGGCAGUGUUCCACCGGUCUUCUGACCGGUUCAUUCUCUGUCGCGAGGCCAUCAUCGUCUGGGCCCGCCGGAUAAGACCUUAGGAAUGUAGCUCACCUUCGGGGGAGUGUUAUAGCCUAGGGUGAUGCGGCGAGGCUCGGGCGAGGUCCGCGCUUCGGCAAGGAUGAUGGCGUAAUGGUUGUCGGCGGCCCGUCUUGAAACACGGACCAAGGAGUCUAACAUCUAUGCGAGUGUUCGGGUGUCAAACCCCUACGCGUAAUGAAAGUGAACGGAGGUGGGAACCGCAAGGUGCACCAUCGACCGAUCCUGAUGUCCUCGGAUGGAUUUGAGUAAGAGCAUAGCUGUUGGGACCCGAAAGAUGGUGAACUAUGCCUGAAUAGGGUGAAGCCAGAGGAAACUCUGGUGGAGGCUCGCAGCGGUUCUGACGUGCAAAUCGAUCGUCAAAUUUGGGUAUAGGGGC
rnacentral:rRNA from 1 species